UACAGAGGUCCCAAGCGUUGUUCGGAUUUACUGGGCGUAAAGGGUGCGUAGGUGACGAGGUAAGUUUGAUGUGAAAUCUCCGAGCUCAACUCGGAAAUGGCAUUGAAUACUAUCCCGCUUGAGGGUCGGAGGGGAGACUGGAAUUCUCGGUGUAGCAGUGAAAUGCGUAGAUAUCGAGAGGAACACCAGUGGCGAAGGCGAGUCUCUGGACGACUCCUGACACUGAGGCACGAAAUCGUGGGGAGCGAACAGG
rnacentral:rRNA from 1 species